rnacentral:lncRNA from 10 species
AACAAUAAAAAGUCAGUGACAUGCUCUUUCUGUGUGUAAGCACUCACACACACACACACAAACACACAUCCGUAUUACAUAUGCUUAUAUAUGUAUUAAAAGAUUAUGGACAUUUGAUAUAUAUACAUAUACUAAAAUGUAUAAUUCAUUGCUAAAGUAUUUUCAUAUAAAUAGUGGCUUCAGUGUUAAAAUCACUUUGCAAUGAAACAAGAUUGUUGAUUAAAACACCUAUUAAAAAAUUAGAAUCUAGCCAUAUUAAAGACAGUCAUCGAAUGGAGUGAUUUCUACGAUUUUGCACCAAAAUUUAAGCUAUUGGGUGGCUUUCUUGAGAGCAUGAGAUUGCUUCU